rnacentral:snoRNA from 1 species
CCCCUCUCAGGGUCACACCUGGAGAGUUUCCAGUACUCUACCAGUUUCAGUUACGGAGGGAGAGUCAAGCAGAGGCAAAUCCAUUCUAUUCCUAGCUCGGGCAGCAGCUAGCCAGUGGAAGGCAAUCUGCUACAAGU